AGUCGUUGGGUCCUUGAGGACUUAGUGACGCAGCUAACGCAAUAAGUAGACCGCCUAGGGGAGUACGGCCGCAAGGUUAAAACUCAAAUGAAUUGACGGGGGCCCGCACAAGCGGUGGAGCAUGUGGUUUAAUUCGAUGCAACGCGAAGAACCUUACCUGGUCUUGACAUAUCUAGAAUCCUGCAGAGAUGCGGGAGUGCCUUCGGGAAUUAGAAUACAGGUGCUGCAUGGCUGUCGUCAGCUCGUGUCGUGAGAUGUUGGGUUAAGUCCCGCAACGAGCGCAACCCUUGUCCUUAGUUACCAGCGGUUUGGCCGGGAACUCUAAGGAUACUGCCAGUGACAAACUGGAGGAAGGCGGGGACGACGUCAAGUCAUCAUGGCCCUUACGACCAGGGCUACACACGUGCUACAAUGGUAGGUACAGAGGGCAGCUACACAGCGAUGUGAUGCGAAUCUCAAAAAGCCUAUCGUAGUCCAGAUUGGAGUCUGCAACUCGACUCCAUGAAGUAGGAAUCGCUAGUAAUCGCGGAUCAGAAUGCCGCGGUGAAUACGUUCCCGGGCCUUGUACACACCGCC
rnacentral:rRNA from 1 species